CCUACGGGAGGCAGCAGUGGGGAAUAUUGCGCAAUGGGCGAAAGCCUGACGCAGCGACGCCGCGUGAGGGAUGAAGGUCUUCGGAUCGUAAACCUCUGUCAGCAGGGAAGAACGGUCACUGUGCUAAUCAGCAGUGAAUUGACGGUACCUGCAAAGGAAGCACCGGCUAACUCCGUGCCAGCAGCCGCGGUAAUACGGAGGGUGCGAGCGUUAAUCGGAAUUACUGGGCGUAAAGCGCUCGUAGGCGGUAUGUCAAGUCAAGGGUGAAAUCCCCGCGCUCAACGUGGGAACUGCCUUUGAAACUGGCAAACUGGAGUGUGUGAGAGGAUAGUGGAAUUCCAGGUGUAGGAGUGAAAGCCGUAGAUAUCUGGAGGAACAUCAGUGGCGAAGGCGACUAUCUGGCACAUAACUGACGCUGAGGAGCGAAAGCGUGGGUGGCAAACAGGAUUAGAUACCCUAGUAGUC
rnacentral:rRNA from 1 species